rnacentral:rRNA from 1 species
AUUGAACGCUGGCGGAAUGCUUUACACUUGCAAGUCGAACGGCAGCACGGGGGCAACCCUGGUGGCGAGUGGCGAACGGGUGAGUAAUACAUCGGAACGUGCCCAGUCGUGGGGGAUAACGUAGCGAAAGUUACGCUAAUACCGCAUACGAUCUACGAAUGAAAGCGGGGGACCGUAAGGCCUCGCGCGAUUGGAGCGGCCGAUGUCAGAUUAGGUAGUUGGUGAGGUAAAGGCUCACCAAGCCGACGAUCUGUAGCUGGUCUGAGAGGACGACCAGCCACACUGGGACUGAGACACGGCCCAGACUCCUACGGGAGGCAGCAGUGGGGAAUUUUGGACAAUGGGCGCAAGCCUGAUCCAGCCAUUCCGCGUGCAGGACGAAGGCCUUCGGGUUGUAAACUGCUUUUGUACGGAACGAAAAGGCUCUGGUUAAUACCUGGGGCUCAUGACGGUACCGUAAGAAUAAGCACCGGCUAACUACGUGCCAGCCGCCGCAGUAA